rnacentral:rRNA from 1 species
UACAGAGGGGCAAGCGUUGUUCGGAAUUACUGGGCGUAAAGGGCGCGUAGGCGCCUUCUAAGUCGAACGUGAAAUCCCUGGGCUCAACCCAGGAACUGCGUCCGAUACUGGAAGGCUUGAAUCCGGGAGAGGGAUGCGGAAUUCCAGGUGUAGCGGUGAAAUGCGUAGAUAUCUGGAGGAACACCGGUGGCGAAGGCGGCAUCCUGGACCGGUAUUGACGCUGAGGCGCGAAAGCCAGGGGAGCAAACGGGG